GAAUACUUGUUAUCCGGAGAUGCCCCGAGCUCACGACCAUUACAGAGCUAGGGCAGCUUCCCUCGCUUUCGGAACUGUGGAUCGGUGGUUGCCCCAACGUCGAAUCGUUUUCUACAGAGGAUCAAGCAUUCUGUCUGCCUCCCUCGCUUAUGCAUUUGGAAAUGUACGGAUGUCCUUUACUGAAAGAGAGGUGUGAAAAGAAGAAAGGCCAAUAUUGGCCCCUCAUUUCUCACAUCCCUGAAGUCUACAUAGACCACAUACUCCAAGAUACUAGGCCCCAGUUCUGAGAAGUGGAGACUAUGUUAUACUUCUUUGGAAUGCCAUUUUCUCAAGUGAUACUUUGCAACAAGAUGAAGGGACACGCCCUUCAACUGAUACAUUUUUGGCACCAACCAUUUGGAGUUUCGAAUGGUGAAUUUUCGGGUUGUGGUGUUCACAAGUUUCAAUGUGUUUUCAGAGCUCAGGAUGUAUCCAAUUGGACAGUCAAAAUAUUUUUAUGUGUGUGUGUAUUUGCGUCAUUAGAUUUCAAGUCUUGUAGUGACAGAACUUCGAAGGUUAAAUUGCUAUGUGGUGUCUAAAUGCCUUUGAUUAUGUUGUUCUUCCUACUUUCCUUCCUGCAACACUCUCAUUUUUUAAUCAAAUCGUCCUCCACUUAUUUGGUAGUAUCA